rnacentral:rRNA from 1 species
GACAGAGGGGGCAAGCGUUAUCCGGAAUUAUUGGGCGUAAGGCGUCCGUAGGUGGUUGUUCAAGUCUGCUGUUAAAGCGUGCGGCUUAACCGCAUACCAGCAGUGGAAACUGGGCGACUAGAGUGCGGUAGGGGUCAGGGGAAUUCCCAGUGUAGCGGUGAAAUGCGUAGAUAUUGGGAAGAACACCGGUGGCGAAAGCGCCUGACUGGACCUGCACUGACACUGAGGGACGAAAGCUAGGGGAGCGAAAGGG